CUUACCUUGGUGUGAUAUGCUUUCGAAUAUCUCUACACGAAAAGUCUUCUAAUCCCCACCAUUUCCAGGUUGUGACAAUGGGUUUUUCGCAAGUCAGAUCCUCAAAUGGCUCCGAUUCCCGUCGAAGAAAAUGCAGCAAAGGCAAAGCAGGCAGCCAAUUAUGAACAAGAAGCCUGUUUGAUGAUUGUUUUUGGUAAAACUGCAGGAUUAUCUUGAUGAAGGUACUACAUAUA